rnacentral:rRNA from 1 species
UGAUGCGGUCAUACCAAGGCUACUACACCAGAUCCCAUCAGAACUCUGAAGUUAAGCGCCUUUGGGCCGGAAUAGUACUGGGAUGGGUG